AACAAGUUUGCCCCAAAGAAGAUUUCAAAGGAGAAUAGGAUUAGUAAUGACAAUUGUGUGAAUAAAUGAUUUUGUUUAUUUAAAGGGGAUACAAAUACUCAAAAAUCAAAUGUCAGAUUUCUCAAAAGACCCAAACUUUUCUCUUUUAUUUGUAUCUCUCUUUUUCCUCUCUUUCCCACGUCACUCUCUCUCCUCUUUUCCUCACAAUCGACGACCACCAUCGGCGCCACCACCGACCACUGACGUCACCACCGGCGGCCAGCAGCAUCACUGAAAGCUCAGCCGGCCACCAUCGUCCCUCUUUUCUCUCUCCUUUGUGCGGUUUUGGUACUAAGAGGAAGAACACUGGUACUGGCAACGGGAAAGCUUCAAGCAGUUCUUUUGGAAGUUUUUUUGAAGGUUUGUAACAUUUUGCAGAGUAUCUGCAAUGUGGACUUAUCAAUCAGCGAAUGUGUUGAUGCCCCGCACUUGUCCUUAGAUGUUGCUUUUGAUGUGCACGUCAUGCUUCAUAUAGCAAUUUUGUUAAGGUUCUAAACUUUUUAUUAUAAUUAUUUUGUUUUAAAAUACCGCAGAAUUUAAUGGUUAUAAUUUUUUAUCUGUCCUACUUUUUAUGAUGUAGUAAUCUGCAAUUUGUGUAGUAUUUUGGUCCUAAGUUCCCAUUUAGGCUAAUGUUAUUUUCCUUUUCUUCACAUCUGAUAAGAUGGAACUAGCUACAUUUUCUCAAGUUCAUUUCUCCAAAUUAAUAGAUAGAUAUAAUCAUAUGGUAAGGCUCUAACAUUUAGCCAAGGCAUUGUAAAGUUGCAUUUCAUAUUGUGUUGACACUACCAAAUAACUAUUCAUAUAAUUUACUUCUAUUAUACUUC